GCUGGGCACAGUGGCGUGUGCCUGUAGUCCCAGCUACUUGGGAGGCUGAGGUGGGAGGAUCACUUGAGCCCAGGAGUUCUGGGCUGUAGUACGCUAUGCCGAUCUGGUGUCUGCACUAAGUUCAGCAUCAAUAUGGUGACCUCCAGGAGUGGGGGACCACCAGGUUGCCUAAGGAGGGGUGAACUGACCCAGGUCGGAAAUAGAGCAGGUUAAAACUCCUGUGCUGAUCAGUAGUGGGAUCGCGCCUGUGAACAGCCACAGCACUCCAGCCUGGGCAACAUAGCAAGAAA
rnacentral:SRP_RNA from 1 species